rnacentral:rRNA from 1 species
GUGCCAGCAGCCGCGGUAAUACCGGCAGCCCGAGUGAUGGCCGAUCUUAUUGGGCCUAAAGCGUCCGUAGCUGGCCGCGCAAGUCCAUCGGAAAAUCCACCCGCCCAACGGGUGGGCGUCCGGUGGAAACUGCGUGGCUUGGGACCGGAAGGCGCGACGGGUACGUCCGGGGUAGGAGUGAAAUCCCGUAAUCCUGGACGGACCGCCGAUGGCGAAAGCACGUCGCGAAGACGGAUCCGACAGUGAGGGACGAAAGCCAGGGUCUCCAACCGGAUUAGAUACCCUGUAUCC